rnacentral:rRNA from 1 species
CCCUAUUAUUUUGGAAUGUUAAGUGUUUAUUUGCCUGAGUAGUAUUAGUUAUGUUCUUGAAACUUAAAGAAUUUGGCGGUACCUCAUUCCUUCCAGAGGAAUCUGUCUCGUUAUCGAUAGUCCACGUUGGACCUUACUUGGAUUGCUUUAGGUUUGUAUACCGCCGUUUAUUGAUUAUCUUUUUAGAGUUUAAGUAAUUUUCUGGUCUCUUUAUUUUGAUUUAUUUCAGGUCAAGGUGCAGCUUGUUUCUAAGUGAAUGAUGGAUUACAUUGUUAUUUGUUUUUGGAUUGUUGAUUUUGAUAUUAGCAUGAAAUUGGAUUUGGUUGUAAUGAUUUGUAGACUGUUUUCAUGAUCGUGGUUCUGGGGUAUGUACACAUCGCCCGUCGCUCUCGUUCAAAGUUGUUAAUGAGAUAAGUC